CAGUAGCCGCGGGAAUACGUAGGUGGCAAGCGUUGUCCGGAAUUAUUAGGCGUAAAGGGCUCGCAGGCGGUUUCUUAAGUCUGAUGUGAAAGCCCCCGGCUCAACCGGGGAGGGUCAUUGGAAACUGGGAAACUUGAGUGCAGAAGAGGAGAGUGGAAUUCCACGUGUAGCGGUGAAAUGCGUAGAGAUGUGGAGGAACACCAGUGGCGAAAGCACUCUGCUGGGCCGACACUGACACUGAGAGACGAAAGCUAGGGGAGCAAAUGGGAUUAGAUACCCGGGUAGUCCCUGUCUCUUAUAC
rnacentral:rRNA from 1 species